CUGACAGAAUGACCUUGUCCAGCUCGUCUGGACUAGGUGGUUCACACCAGUGUUUCGGACAGCGGUUCGAUUCCGCUCAGCUCCAUUCCUCCCUCAAUCAGGGGGCUGCAAUGGUUUCGACGGGACAUAAGGAGGAUGACUGAAGCCUGCUCGGUUAGAGCAAAUCCCGUAACUGCGAACAACAUCGUACGUUUCUCCCGUCAAGCAGCCCCUGUUGCUGCCUGACCCUUUUAAGGGAGAUGGGGUGAGGUCAGCCUUAUCACCCAAAUGACUCAUGGGGCCUGGAAGGGCCC
rnacentral:tmRNA from 1 species